GUUGGAGGUCAGUCUGUUUAUGGGGGUCGGUCGAUUUAUCCCAACACCCCUUAUUCCACAUUGGAGAAGAAACUAGUAGUUGAUGAUCACACAAAUCAUAUAUAAGAUAUGCUUGAUUUGCGUAUGUGAUAGAUAUGACAAUCUCUAAGGUUUAUCACUAACUAAUGAUAAAUAAUAAUUAUUUAGGUUAUGAGUUUGGACUUGUCCCAAUGGUCAUGCCUCUCUUCUUAGCAAUAGUGAUUUUGUUCGACAGGUAGUGCAUUGACUUGGAAACAAAAUGCUGGUGGGUCUCCAUUCUUUAUCUAAACAGAAUAAAUGUGGCUCGACUC
rnacentral:lncRNA from 1 species